CCAAAUGUCAAGUUUGUAUAGAAGGUUGCAAACAUGUGACAGCGUUUAUUUUGUCGCACGUGGGGUUGUUGUCCCUCGUUGUAGGAUACUGUGUCAUUGGGGCCUUCACUUUUGAAGCUUUGGAAGCCAGAAAUGAAAUUCAGG